GCAACAGUCCUUUUCAGGACUACAGAUCGAUUUGAAAAAGAGUUAU
rfam:Anopheles dirus strain WRAIR2 unplaced genomic scaffold supercont1.6, whole genome shotgun sequence.